rnacentral:rRNA from 1 species
AGAGUUUGAUCCUGGCUCAGAACGUACGCUGGCGGCACGCCUAACACAUGCAAGUCGAACGAAGUAGCAAUACUUAGUGGCAGACGGGUGAGUAACAUGUAGGUAUCUGCCCUUUGGCCUGGAAUAACACGAGGAAACUUGUGCUAAUACCGGAUAAGUCUUUACGGAGAAAGCUUUAUGCACCAUUGGAUGAGCCUGCACUAGAUUAGUUUGUUGGUAGGGUAAUGGCCUACCAAGACUAUGAUCUAUAGCUGAUUUGAGAGGAUGAUCAGCCACAUUGGGACUGAGACACGGCCCAAACUCCUACGGGAGGCAGCAGUGGGGAAUCUUGCACAAUGGAGGAAACUCUGAUGCAGCGAUGCCGCGUGAGUGAAGAAGGCCUUUGGGUUGUAAAGCUCUUUCGUCGGGGAAGAAAAUGACUGUACCCGAAUAAGAAGGUCCGGCUAACUUCGUGCCAGCAGCCGCGGUAAUACGAAGGGACCUAGCGUAGUUCGGAAUUACUGGGCUUAAAGAGUUCGUAGGUGGUUGAAAAAGUUGGUGGUGAAAUCCCAGAGCUUAACUCUGGAACUGCCAUCAAAACUUUUCAGCUAGAGUAUGAUAGAGGAAAGCAGAAUUUCUAGUGUAGAGGUGAAAUUCGUAGAUAUUAGAAAGAAUACCAAUUGCGAAGGCAGCUUUCUGGAUCACUACUGACACUGAGGAACGAAAGCAUGGGUAGCGAAGAGGAUUAGAUACCCUCGUAGUCCAUGCCGUAAACGAUGUGUGUUAGACGUUGGAAAUUUA